rnacentral:rRNA from 1 species
GACGAACGCUGGCGGCGUGCUUAACACAUGCAAGUCGAACGGAAAGGCCCUGCUUUUGUGGGGUGCUCGAGUGGCGAACGGGUGAGUAACACGUGAGUAACCUGCCCUUGACUUUGGGAUAACUUCAGGAAACUGGGGCUAAUACCGGAUAGGAGCUCCUGCUGCAUGGUGGGGGUUGGAAAGUUUCGGCGGUUGGGGAUGGACUCGCGGCUUAUCAGCUUGUUGGUGGGGUAGUGGCUUACCAAGGCUUUGACGGGUAGCCGGCCUGAGAGGGCGACCGGCCACAUUGGGACUGAGAUACGACCCAGACUCCUACAGGAGGCAGCAGUGUAGAAUAUUUCACAAUGGGCGGAAGCCUGAUGCAGCAACGCCGCGUGCGGGAUGACGGCCUUCGGGUUGUAAACCGCUUUCGCCUGUGACGAAGCGUGAGUGACGGUAAUGGGUAAAGAAGCACCGGCUAACUACGUG